rnacentral:rRNA from 1 species
GUCUUCUUGAAUAUAUAAGAAGUCUGACCUGCCCGGUGAAUAAGUAUUUAACGGCCGCGGUAUUUUGACCGUGCAAAGGUAGCAUAAUCAUUAGUCUUUUAAUAGAGGGCUGGAAUGAAGGGUUUGACGAAAUGUUUACUGUCUCAUUUAAUUUGGAAUUUGAAUUUAACUUUUUAGUUAAAAGGCUAAAUUGUUGUUGGAAGACGAGAAGACCCUAUAGAGCUUUAUAUUUUAAAAUUUAAAAGAUUUUUGGUGAAUUACUAUUUUUUAAAUGGAGAAUUAUUUUGUUGGGGUGACAAGAAUACAUAAUGAACUUUUUUAUUUUAAUAACAUUGAUUUAUGAUUAUUAGAUCCAUUAUUAUUGAUUGAUAGAGAAAGUUACCUUAGGGAUAACAGCGUAAUCUUCCUUCAGAGUUCAAAUUUACAGGAAGGCUUGCGACCUCGAUGUUGGAUUAAGAUAAUAAUUAGGUGUAGCCGCUUAAUUAAUAGGUCUGUUCGACCUUUAAAUUCUU